UACGAAGGGGGCUAGCGUUGUUCGGAAUUACUGGGCGUAAAGCGCACGUAGGCGGACUAUUAAGUCAGGGGUGAAAUCCCGGGGCUCAACCCCGGAACUGCCUUUGAUACUGGUAGUCUCGAGUCCGGAAGAGGUGAGUGGAACUGCGAGUGUAGAGGUGAAAUUCGUAGAUAUUAGGAAGAACACCAGUGGCGAAGGCGGCUCACUGGCUCGGUACUGACGCUGAGGCGCGAAAGCGUGGGGAGCAAACAGGG
rnacentral:rRNA from 1 species